rnacentral:rRNA from 1 species
UACGGAGGAUCCGAGCGUUAUCCGGAUUUAUUGGGUUUAAAGGGUGCGCAGGCGGGAUGUUAAGUCGGCGGUGAAAUUUUGCAGCUCAACUGUAAAAGUGCCUUCGAUACUGGCUUUCUUGAGUGUGGAUGAAGUAGGCGGAAUUUGUGGUGUAGCGGUGAAAUGCAUAGAUAUCACGAGGAACUCCGAUUGCGCAGGCAGCUUACUAAACUACUACUGACGCUCAGGCACGAAGGCGUGGGGAUCAAACAGGAUUAGAUACCCGGU